GGGCAUAUAGCUUAGGAGCAGAGUGCAUGCUUAGCAUGCAUGAGGUCCUGAGUUCAAUCCUUAGUACCUCCA
rnacentral:tRNA from 1 species